UGGGANGGGGUCGCGUCCUAUCAGCUUGAUGGCGGGGUAACGGCCCACCAUGGCUUCGACGGGUAGCCGGCCUGAGAGGGCGACCGGCCACAUUGGGACUGAGAUACGGCCCAGACUCCUACGGGAGGCAGCAGUGGGGAAUAUUGCACAAUGGGCGCAAGCCUGAUGCAGCGACGCCGCGUGAGGGAUGGAGGCCUUCGGGUUGUAAACCUCUUUUGUUAGGGAGCAAGGCACUUUGUGUUGAGUGUACCUUUCGAAUAAGCACCGGCUAACUACGUGCCAGCAGCCGCGGUAAUACGUAGGGUGCAAGCGUUAUCCGGAAUUAUUGGGCGUAAAGGGCUCGUAGGCGGUUCGUCGCGUCCGGUGUGAAAGUCCAUCGCUUAACGGUGGAUCCGCGCCGGGUACGGGCGGGCUUGAGUGCGGUAGGGGAGACUGGAAUUCC
rnacentral:rRNA from 1 species